GGCGGGGACUCUGAGUGCCGGCCCCCCGGCAGCACCGCCCAGGGCUCCUCCCCCUCUUCUUAGGGCUGGGUGUCAGGCUCCGGGUCCUCCAUUCAAGGUCAGGGUCGGCCCCUUCCUCCAGCCCCUGCGGAGAGCAGAGAGCAGACAGCCGCCCCCAGGGGCCGGCCGGGCAGGGUCCCCGUCCCCUCGGGGCGCACGGAGCGUUCAGGUGGCGCCUGCAGGCGCUCAAGUUCCAGCACUAAAGCAGUGACGACGCUGAUUUUCCAAGUUUUAAUGAUGGGCAAUCUGCAUACCGAUCGGCUCAUCUGCGCGCCCGCGGCUUCGAACAACACAGGAAACCGGCAUAAAGAGGGCCGUGCUGUGAUGACAAUGGCUUCCCAGUGUGCUGACCUCCGUAAACGCAGCAAACAAAAGUACAGUCCUCUUUGGCUGCGACACUAACGAGUCAUUACGAACGGGCACAGCUGCUCGUGCAAGCACUUUGUUAAAAAUAUUCUUCUCAUUUUGUGUCUGUCCCCAAUUAUAGCGGAGCCAUUGUGCCAGCCAGCCAGCGAGCGCAAGCAGAAGAAUAUUUACGUUCUGUGGUCUCGGCCGGUUUGCGGAGCGCACUGUCAAGUGUAGCCGCCUCGCCGUGUGGUGCCUGUUGACGCCUCCUCCCCCUGACAUUCUCAGUUUUCCACCCGCCCUGUGCCCGCGUUAGGAUGACAGAGCUGGGAAGCCCUUGACGGUCACCUGCGGACGUCUCUGUCUGCACGAGGAGGCGGACCGACUUGGGGCUGCGUCAGGAGCGCUUGGGUCAAGCCUGUGUGGGAGCAGCUCCCGCGGGCACCGGGGGCCCGACAGUCGUGAAAGGAACGGGCAGCCGGGGGAACCCAGCGGUGUGGGGUGACGGCACGUCCCCACCUGUCACAGAACCUUCGACACCCCAGCACCCAGAGGAUGCCGUCCUUGGUCGGCGCCUCAAAACUCAAAGUUUCUUGCAGGAAAGCAGCUGGAAGCAGUAGCUUCUUCGUGACGAGGUCAGGCAGGGUGACCUCCAGACCCAGGCUGGGCUGGGCCGCCCCCCUGGUAACUCUGGGCCCGGCCUGGGCCACGUCCUGCUCUCAGGGGAGCCGCAUGGGCCCUGUGCUGACUCUCCAGGGCCUGCUCGUCCGGCCUGGGAGCUGGGCCGGGGGUCUGUCGGGACCCCUGUCCUCGAGCUCGCCCUUGGUGACCUCUGAGGGGGGCAGGAAGGGGAGGGGGGAGCAGGGGGCCCGGGUUGCAGCCUCCUGCCAGGAAGAGGGGGUCGGGGGGCCCCGCCCCUGUCUGCACCUGCGGCCUCCUCGGCCAGCGAGUCACAUCCCAGCAAGGGGGGCGCGUCCACUGUCCCCUUCCUCAACUCAGAGGUCAGGACACAGCAGCCGGAGCCAGGUGGGGCCUGCUUGGGUGGGAUUCGAACCAGCCGCCUGUAAAAGACAUUCUGAGACCUGGGGGGAGGCCUGAGUGUGGGCCAGUACUAGCCCUGCACGGGAGUUUUGUUAAUUUCGUUAGUGUUUCAAUGACACUGUAGGUAUGUAAGAGAAAAAUGCCUUUAUCUUAGCAAGAAGGCGUUUGCAUAAAAUCAUAAGACAUCUUGGACGAUGCUAAAAUGCUCCAGUAAAAACUAAAGUGUGUGUGUGUGUGUGUGUGUGUGUGUGUGUGUGUGUAAAACAAGAUGGCAAAACGUAUACGAUUGAAACCGGGUGAUGGAGUUCCCACGAUUCCCCCACUUUUGGGUGAGCUAGGAAUUUUCCAUAAUUAAAAGUUAAAAUAUAUAAUGUAUGCUACUCUCCCAUGGAGUAUUGGAUCUGAAAAAAGCUUCAAUUAUAGAACAACACUUCAACUUGCUCCAUUCCCCCAGCAAUAAACGGUAAAUCUGGGGAGGCAUGAAGGGGAGGGACCCCAGGAGAAGGCCAUGGCCCGCCUGACUCAGCCCGGGGAGGCACCCGUUUUCUCCCACCCACAGCAACGCCCCGUGACUGUACCCGUGGUCAUGUUUAUCGGCUGGAACUCAGCUCCCUGCCCGCAGCAAAGCAGCAGGACGAAGACGGCCACUCCUGUAUUAGCCGCCAUGUUCCUCCAGCUGCGGAAGGAGGACGCUCUCCUGAGGUCCCCUCAGAUUCUCCCGCGUGGUCUCCAGGACACUGUGGAAUGUCCAGGGUGUGAGACCUCACGGCAGGAAGCGAACAGCGUCCUGCCUGUGUGGGUGGCAGAGACAGGAAGAUGCGGGAGACCCCUGGGGCCUUGGGGGACGGGGAUCCCCUCUCCUUACUUCUGUUGCCCCUUCCCGUCCUCCCUCGGUCCUGCAGACCCUGAGACCUGGCAGAACCCAACAAAGCCAGCUUCGGGGAAAAGAGGCGCAUUGGGAAAAGGCUGGGAGCUCACUGAGUUACAGAGCAGGGAGCAUGUUGGGGUCCGUGUCCCAUUUGAGUUAAUUAAUGGUCCGAUGACACACAGACCAGUGGUCUGGACACUUUCCACUCAAGUGCGGUCCUUUGACCAGCAGCCUCAAAUGGAAAACAGCACCAUGAAGGGUUGUAGAACUUCGACCCACAGUCUGCAGUGACCAGCCCGGGCAGGGAAACCGGUGUCCGUGGUGACCAUCCAGGAGCAAAGAGUGCCAAGCACAGGAACCGUCCAGCCUCUAGGUGCUGAUUUUCUUAAGAUAACACCACAGCCUUGAAACAGCUGGGUCUGCUGUCUCUUUUCACCCUGAAAUCACACAUCCCAACACCCGUUUGUCAG